rnacentral:rRNA from 1 species
CCUACGGGAGGCAGCAGUGGGGAAUUUUGGACAAUGGGCGCAAGCCUGAUCCAGCAAUGCCGCGUGAGUGAAGAAGGCCUUCGGGUUGUAAAGCUCUUUUGUCAGGGAAGAAACGGCAGUUUCUAAUACAGAUUGCUAAUGACGGUACCUGAAGAAUAAGCACCGGCUAACUACGUGCCAGCAGCCGCGGUAAUACGUAGGGUGCAAGCGUUAAUCGGAAUUACUGGGCGUAAAGCGUGCGCAGGCGGUUUUGUAAGUUUGUCGUGAAAUCCCCGGGCUCAACCUGGGAAUGGCGAUGAAGACUGCAAGGCUAGAAUCUGGCAGAGGGGGGUAGAAUUCCACGUGUAGCAGUGAAAUGCGUAGAGAUGUGGAGGAACACCGAUGGCGAAGGCAGCCCCCUGGGUCAAGAUUGACGCUCAUGCACGAAAGCGUGGGGAGCAAACAGGAUUAGAUACCCUGGUAGUCCACGCCCUAAACGAUGUCUACUAGUUGUCGGGUUUUAAUUAACUUGGUAACGCAGCUAACGCGUGAAGUAGACCGCCUGGGGAUACGGUCGCAAGAUUAAAACUCAAAUGAAUUGACGG